rnacentral:rRNA from 1 species
CACGUAGGGCGCAAGCGUUGUCCGGAAUUAUUGGGCGUAAAGAGCUCGUAGGCGGUCUGUUGCGUCCGCUGUGAAAACUCGGGGCUUAACCCCGAGCCUGCAGUGGAUACGGGCAGACUAGAGGUAGGUAGGGGAGAAUGGAAUUCCCGGUGUAGCGGUGAAAUGCGCAGAUAUCGGGAGGAACACCGGUGGCGAAGGCGGUUCUCUGGGCCUUACCUGACGCUGAGGAGCGAAAGCGUG